CAAGCCAGAUGAGGUCGAGGUGAGCGUGACCGUUCGCCGUUUGACAGCGACAUUGGGCGGCUCCAGCGAAGCGGUGCAAGAGGAGAUCGAUGGGGUGAUGUGGUUUCGAUCGGCGGC
rnacentral:snoRNA from 1 species